AAAUAAGAAGCAAAAUUUGCAUUUAAUUUCGACUUAAAAUUUAGAGUUUAUUUACUCCUUAUUUA
rnacentral:tRNA from 1 species